rnacentral:lncRNA from 10 species
CUUCAAAUUGGAUUUCGUAGUGAUAUGGAUCUGUUCACAGUCUUAUGGAGGCUGAUGCUGGCAUUUGAAUGCAGUUCCUCGAGGCUUUCCGAUGAGCUAGAUGACAGCAUUCCAAGAGUGAAGACUAUUGUCCUGUCUAUCAUGGAGCCUUACACUUAACAAGUUUCAAAACUAAAGAACAAGAAGCAUAAAGGAAACUGGAUGAAGCAUGAGUGGAACCAGUUGUCUUGGACU